GAUGAACGCUGGCGGCGUGCCUAAUACAUGCAAGUCGAGCGAACAGACGAGGAGCUUGCUCCUCUGACGUUAGCGGCGGACGGGUGAGUAACACGUGGAUAACCUACCUAUAAGACUGGGAUAACUUCGGGAAACCGGAGCUAAUACCGGAUAAUAUAUUGAACCGCAUGGUUCAAUAGUGAAAGACGGUUUUGCUGUCACUUAUAGAUGGAUCCGCGCCGCAUUAGCUAGUUGGUAAGGUAACGGCUUACCAAGGCAACGAUGCGUAGCCGACCUGAGAGGGUGAUCGGCCACACUGGAACUGAGACACGGUCCAGACUCCUACAGGAGGGAGCAGUAGGGAAUCUUCCACAAUGGGCGAAAGCCUGACGGAGCAACGCCGCGUGAGUGAUGAAGGUCUUCGGAUCGUAAAACUCUGUUAUUAGGGAAGAACAAAUGUGUAAGUAACUAUGCACGUCUUGACGGUACCUAAUCAGAAAGCCACGGCUAACUACGUG
rnacentral:rRNA from 1 species